CCAGCAGCCGCGGUAAUUCCAGCUCCAAUAGUGUAUAUUAGAGUUGUUGCAGUUAAAAAGCUCGUAGUUGGAUUUCUGUCGUGGUCAGCCUGCGCUGCCUGUAUGGGUGUGCGCGUGGUUCGCCCUCGGCUUUCUUCCGGUAGCCUCCUGCGCUUCACUGCGUGGGCUGGUGUUCUGGAACUUUUACUUUGAGAAAAAUAGAGUGUUUCAAGCAGGCUUG
rnacentral:rRNA from 1 species